rnacentral:rRNA from 1 species
GACGAACGCUGGCGGCGUGCUUAACACAUGCAAGUCGAACGGAACGGCCCUGCUUUUGUGCGGUGCUCGGGUGGCCAACGGGUGAGUAACCCGUGGGUUACCUGCCCCUGCCUUUGGGGUAACUUCAGGCCACUGGGGCUAAUACCGGAUAGGAGCUCCUGCCGCUUGAUGGGCGUUGGAUGGUUUCGGCGGUUGGGGAUGGAAUCGCGGCUUAUCGGCUUGUUGGUGGGGUAGUGGCUUACCAAGGCUUUGACGGGUAGCAGGCCUGGGAGGAUGACAGGCCAAGUCACGAUUGAGCUACGGCCCGGACUCCUACGGGAGGGAGCGGUGGGGAAUAGUGCACAAUGGGCUGAAGCCUGAUGCAGCAACGCAGUGUGCGGGAUGACGGCAAGCGGUUUGUGAAGCGCUGUCGCCUGUGACGAAGUGUGAGUGACGGUAAUGGGUAAAGAAGCACCGGCUAACUCCGUG